GUUCUUGCUUGCUUUUUCCCAAGUGUUGUAGAUGUGAACAGGUCUCAAAAUUAGGCGUGCAUCCGAAGGGUUGCUGUGAACACUCCUUAUUUCAUAGUAUUGCAUUCUUCCAUGGAGCUAGAGAAUCAGGUAAGAGAAAAAAGUGAAUGUGGUUAUGGAAGGAGGGAAGAAAAGAAAGAGAAAGGAAAGGAAGGGAGAAAAAGAUGAAAAGAAAGGAAGUGAGGGAAGAACUGGGGGGAGAAGGAAGUAAAGGAAUGAAAAGAGGAGGAAAAAAGAAAGGAGGGAGAAAGAGAGAGGAGAGAGAGGCCCGUUGUUGUCAAACCCUGGCUGGUUUACACUGAGGAGCCAGAUAGCCUCUCAGUGAAAAGCUGAGAUUAAGCUCACAACAUAAUUUCCAUUAUGUUAAUGUUGCUUUAAAAUAUAUUGCACAGAGUGCUGCAACAAUCAAAUUAUCAAUUAUAAUGUCUACUCAGAGUAGAAAAGUGUUACAAACAGAGGGCUGAUUACUGCUUCAGUACAUCCAAUCUGCAUACUCAUUGUUCAGUACAGGGAAAACAAAUUAUCUUGUGUUGGCCCCAGUUCAAAUUUAAUUAAAUGAGUGCAAAGCAAUUAUAAUAAAGUACAAUAGUGUAGUAAUGAAAGGAAAAUAACUCAUUAACCUAUUAAUCUUUAUUUAUGUUCCUCUCAAAUAACUAUGUAAUUUCUUUAUCACCGCAUCCCAUAAGAAAAAGUAGGGUCUCACUGCUCGUGGCCUGGUUUAAAAGGUUCUAUUUGGUUAAGAUGCCUUCACGGCCACCAUUAUAUCAACUUCCCUUAGCUCAGGGCCACCCCCAAUCUCCCGUCAUGCUCUCUACUUGAACAUGGUCUGGAUUUAGCAUUCCUCUCUCACACAUCUCUGACGCUUGUCAUUUGGGCAAGGUAGAUCUCUCUGGAAGCCUAGAUGGGCAGACGCAUCCUCCGACAUCUGUUGAGCAAAGGAAGAGAGAAAAGAGAAUCACUGUGGUUUAGAGAAAGUCCAGGCUUUAAAGUCUGAAGAGGUAUCAGCAAGAGCUAAGAACACCCCAGCAAACACACCAUGGGUCACCUGUUAUGCAGAUGAAGAAGUGGAGUUUUGGAAGACAAAAGUGUUUCGCCUAAGCCUUGCCAUUUACAAGGAGCUGAUCAAGGAUUCUAAUUCAGGUCUACACUGCUUAAAUCCUCAUUUCAAUCCUUCAGAACCUCUCUGUUCAAAGGGUGGGCCACCACUGACUGACAGCUUUGGCAUCUCUUGGAAGCUCAGUUGGUAGAGCCUCAAUCCAGACCAGCAGAAACAGAAAGUGCAUUUGACAGGAUACUCUGGGGAUUUAUUAGCGUGAUGAAGAUUUCAAAGUGCUGGGUGCCACACUGCCUCUCCUGGAGAUAGCAGAGCUCAGACAAGGCUCAGGGGUGGGGACUCUUUCCAGACUCCUCAUACCAAGUAAGAGCUCAACAUUUCCUUACAACUCACAGCAACUUGAGGUGACCUUGGGAUAAUCUGGGGUCAUUAGGCUUGACUCUGGCUGCUAUUUACAUAUCAUUUGAGGUCAGCCCUGCACCUAAUUCCUAAACCUUCACAUUUUCCUACAAGAACUUGGAAAAGAGGGAAGGGGAAAACAUGAAACCCUGAUGAAUGGAAGAAGGAAACAGGUAUUUGUAAAGUUUCUCCUUUGUUCCUAGAGACCAUCCAUGUAUUACUUCAUUUAAUCUCCAUGACAAACACCCUUUUAAGAUAAGGUGACCAACAAGAAGUUUAAGAGUUAUGUCCAGUGUUGCCUACACCUGGUAAGUGACAGAGGUGAGCUUUGCUUGUCUUUAAUGUUUACACAUCUACCAAAUAGCAUUCUCUAAAAAGAAAGGACAGAGAGACCAGGAAAGGCAGGCAAGAUGAAGUGAAAAAAAAGGUAGUGUGACAAUCGUUAGUGCUGUUCAUCCUCCAUUUCCUACUCUUUGAAACACCUUGAGAAUUAUACUUCCUGUCCCCCUUGAAAGUAGGAGGGGACCCUGUGCAUAGCUUUGGUCAAUGACUUGCCAGCAGAUGUUUCAUGGUUUGUUUCAAGUCAGACACUUAAUUGCUUGUGGCUUCUCUACACAGUGUUCUUCUCUCUGCUGUGGUGCUUGGCAAUAUUCAAGAUGGUGGCUGUGCCAUCAGCCUGGUUCCCAGAGUGAGUGAGUGUGCUGACCUCACAUCAACCUGUGGUGAACACAUGAUGAGAGUGACCAAAAAAAACCCAAAAAAACUUUGCUUUUUUGAGCCACUGAAGUUUGAGAUUGUUACUGUAGCAUAACGGAGCCUAUCCUGACUCUACAGAAAAAGAGGGGGAAAAAAAUGAAAAUAUUUAACACUUGUACGUGUAUCUUUUUUUCACUUGAGACUAAGAGCGUUUCUGUGAGAGAGGAAUUAUUCCACAUUAUAUGGACUGAAUGUUUACUAUUUGUUUUAUAGGCAAUUUAACAAAGACACACAAGUGUAAGCGUCCUGCCUGACCAAAGUGGCAAAGUUUGUAAGUGGCAGGGCCAGGUUUGGAAUGCAGGUCUCCUGAUGACUAAUCUUUCCUCAACCCAGAACACUUCCUCCAUGAUGAGACUGGAGCCCUGUUCCCCUGUCCAACACAAGCCUCAGGUUGGUGUAUCUAGCUUUGGGCUAACCCCUCCUUCCCCUCCCCACUCAGGAGGGAUCCAAAUUAUUGGACAAAUAUCAGGUCAAGGGAAAACAGGUCCAUGUAACUGCCAAGAGAUGAGUCCAUCUGAUUUACGCUGGGGGCAGAAACCAGCGAACAAAGUCCAGGAUGAUAUUACUGUGGCCAACUGCAAGG
rnacentral:lncRNA from 1 species